CCUCAACUUUAAUCUAAUUUUAUUUAUAUUUUUUAUAUUUAAAAAAAUAUCAAACUGGCUCUUCUAAUUAUCGAUAUAUUCUAAUGUAGUCUAGCUAUUCACUUACCAACAAAUGAUGUUAGCUUUUCUUUCCAAUAGAUAGAAAUGCCCCUCACUCAUAGAAAGGAUUGUCGGUGAGGCAAAGAUGGAGGAGGAGAGUGCUAUCGUGAAGAAGGAGGAUAGGGUCGUGGAGGUCGGCA
rnacentral:lncRNA from 1 species